UACGUAGGGUGCAAGCGUUAUCCGGAUUCACUGGGCUUAAAGGGUGCGUAGGCGGGUUGGUAAGUCAGUGGUGAAAUCUCCAGGCUUAACUUGGAAACUGCCAUUGAUACUAUCAAUCUUGAAUACCGUGGAGGUCAGCGGAAUAUGUCAUGUAGCGGUGAAAUGCUUAGAUAUGACAUAGAACACCAAUAGCGAAGGCAGCUGGCUACACGAAUACUGACACUGAUGCACGAAAGCGUGGGGAUCAAACAGG
rnacentral:rRNA from 1 species